rnacentral:rRNA from 1 species
AUUAAAAACCCAAUGCCCUUYGGGGSUYUYUUGGUGAUUCAUGAUAACUUCUCGGAAUCGCAUGGCCUUGCGCCGGCGAUGGUUCAUUCAAAUUUCUUCCCUAUCAACUUUCGAUGUUUGGGUAUUGGCCAAACAUGGUUGCAACGGGUAACGGAGGGUUAGGGCUCGACCCCGGAGAAGGAGCCUGAGAAACGGCUACUACAUCCAAGGAAGGCAGCAGGCGCGCAAAUUACCCAAUCCCGACUCGGGGAGGUAGUGACAAUAAAUACUGAUACAGGGUUCUUUUGGAUCUUGUAAUUGGAAUGAGUACAAUUUAAAUCCCUUAACGAGGAACAAUUGGAGGGCAAGUCUGGUGCCAGCAGCCGCGGUAAUUCCAGCUCCAAUAGCGUAUAUUAAAGUUGUUGUGGUUAAAAAGCUCGUAGUUGAACCUUGGGCCUGGCUGGCCGGUCCGCCUCACCGCGUGUACUGGUCCGGCCGGGCCUUUCCCUCUGUGGAACCCUAUGCCCUUCACUGGGUGUGGC